rnacentral:rRNA from 1 species
AGUGAACGCUGGCGGUAGGCCUAACACAUGCAAGUCGAACGGCAGCACAGUAAGAUCUUGCUCUUACGGGUGGCGAGUCGCGGACGGGUGAGGAAUACAUCGGAAUCUACUUUUUCGUGGGGGAUAACGUAGGGAAACUUACUCUAAUACCGCAUACGACCUACGGGUGAAAGCAGGGGAUCUUCGCACCUUGCGCGAUUGAAUGAGCCGAUGUCGGAUUAGCUAGUUGGCGGGGUAAAGGCCCACCAAGGCGACGAUCCGUAGCUGGUCUGAGAGGAUGGUCAGCCACACUGGAACUGAGACACGGUCCAGACUCCUACGGGAGGCAGCAGUGGGGAAUAUUGGCCAAUGGGCGCAAGCCUGAUCCAGCCAUACCGCGUGGGUGAAGAAGGCCUUCGGGUUGUAAAGCCCUUUUGUUGGGAAAGAAAAGCAGCAGGUUAAUACCCCGCUGUUCUGACGGUACCCAAAGAAUAAGCACCGGCUAACUUCGUG